rnacentral:rRNA from 1 species
CACGUAGGGACGAGCGUUGUCCGGAUUCAUUGGGCGUAAAGCGCGCGUAGGCGGCUCGGAAAGUCGGGCGUGAAAUGCCGGGGCUCAACCCCGGGACUGCGUCCGAUACUUCCGAGCUGGAGGUAGGUAGGGGAGAUCGGAAUUCCUGGUGGUAGCGGUGAAAUGCGCAGAGUAUCAAGGAGGAACACCGGUGGCGAAGGCGGAUCUCCUGGGC